rnacentral:lncRNA from 1 species
CUUUUUUUAUGUUUAAAUUUCAAUUGCUUGUUCCUUGGAUCGAAAUGGUUUGAUGGGGUUGGAGGGAUUAGGGAUGGAUAGAUGUGAUGGCUUCGGUUUUAUUACUAAAAAUGUUCUUGAGUUAUGGAUCCGGGGCUAAAGGAAAGUACAGCGGGGAAAAGAAAAGGUUGUUCCCACUAAGAAAAUUAGAUAGUAUAUAAAGAGGAAAGAGGAAGGGGUAAAGUUCACAUUUUUGUGUAACCAAAACAAGAUCAAGUUGAUAGUUGAGCAACAUUGUACAUUCAUGUAUGGGUCAAGGUGGCUAUUAAAUGUAUGUCUUAGAAGUCAAAUUGAUCGAUACUUGUAAAACUCUCUUAAGACAUAUUUUAUAAUAUUAAUUUAUAAAUUAAAAAAAUCAUAUUUAUUUCCAUUCAGAUCUGUGUUAUUAAGUAUCUUUGAAUCGUCCAUUGAGUUAAUGGAUAUAAUGACACAUAUUCUCAAAAAUUAAGAAUUUGAGAUAUAUGUCAUUAUAAUUAAUUCAUAAAUUACUUCCGAUCAUAGAAUCAUCAUGAAGACGGUGUUUGAUAUAGAGAGAUUGGUGCACUAUCACUUUCUUAGGAUAGAUGAGUCUUGAAUUUACGAUGUAGAGAUACCAGAGCGAG